GGCCUCGUAACUCAAGUGGUUAGAGCCUUGGCUGUAAAAAAAGCCUUUCCCGUCUGCUGUCGUGGGUUCGAAUCUCACUGAGGCCG
rnacentral:tRNA from 1 species